CCAAUAGCGUAUAUUAAAGUUGUUGCAGUUAAAAAGCUCGUAGUUGAAUUUCGGGAUCAAUAUGUUGGUCGUGCCUUGGUACGUACUAGUUUAUUGGUUUCUUCCUUCUGACGAACCAUGAUGUCAUUAAUUUGGUGUCAUGGGGAAUCAGGACUGUUACUUUGAAAAAAUUAGAGUGUUUAAAGCAGGCUUCACGCUUGAAUACAUUAGCAUGGAAUAAUGAAAUAGGACGUUUGAUUCUAUUUUGUUGGUUUUUAGGAUCGACGUAAUGAUUAAUAGGGAUGGUUGGGGGCAUUAGUAUUCAAUUGUCAGAGGUGAAAUUCUUGGAUUUAUUGAAGACUAACUACUGCGAAAGCAUUUGCCAAGGAUGUUUUCAUUAAUCAAGAACGAAAGUUAGGGGAUCGAAGACGAUCAGAUACCGUCGUAGUCUUAACCAUAAACUAUGCCGACUAGGGAUCGGAUGAUGUUAAUUUUUUAAUGACUCAUUCGGUGCCUUACG
rnacentral:rRNA from 1 species